CCCGCGACCCGGUCCCGGAUAAAGCGGAAGACGACGAGUACGAGUACGAGCAACUCCCUUCCUGCCAAAUACCUUUUAUUUAUUUUAUUUUUGUUUUUGAAUUUUUCACUUAAUCCUGUCAAUAUGAUUUACAUGUCAAGUGUGCAUCAAAUAUCACAUCCAAAUACUUGAAAGAUCCAACAUUCUCCACUCCCUCUCCAUAUAACUGUAAUUUGAAGUUUUCAUUCAGCUUUCUCCUUGUAAAAAAGACUGCUUUAGUUUUUUCAACUGAAAACCUAAGCCCCCAGUUAUUCCCCCAUUCAACCACAUCAUUUAUAGCUUCUUGGACAUUUGUUUAUAUAUAUAUUCAAUGUUUCUCCCUCUCUUCCAUAGUACACCGUCAUCUGCAAAAGGAGACCGACCAAUAUCUCCUGGAACAACAGAAAACAUUUCAUUAAUCAUGAUAAUGAAAGCCAUAGGACUGUGUAUUUGCUGGACAAAGCUGAAUUGAUUGAAACCUGAAUCUGUCUACCAAAAAGACAUGGUCUUUGACCCAAUUAAAAACCCUGGCACCAACCACCAACCUGUGCAAUUUAAUUAAAAGGCUUUCCCUCCACAUCAUAUUAUAUGCCUUUUCAAUAUCAAAGAACACUGUCGGGAGUUUUGGAGUAUGUCUUUGUUUUUUGUUUUUUUUUUGCCUGCUGCUCACACUUUUCCACCACUAGAUGCCGUCUGAGCUCCGGAGGUGAGAAGGAACAGGUGCUCGCAAUUUCUCAUCAGAGAGGAGGAGGAUAAGAGAGCAGCUCGCCAGCACUCCUACGCCUGAGGGUUUGCCUAUUGUGGCUUGACUCCAGUCCGCCUACGGCUCUGUUGAUUCCUCGUUGUGCUGAUUUCCUCGUCUCAGGUUCCAAGUAAAGUUCCUGGAUUCCAUUUCCAGCUGGCGACUGCUAAAACCUCCUCCUUUCUGGCUCAAGACCCAAGCGAACCCUGUCCACCCUCCGACGUACUUACCUCCGAGCCCGGCACCUAUACUUGUCAUUCAGUAAGAAAAUGUCGAAGCCGUCUCUGCUUCCCCAGGUCUGUUGAUUUGGGCACAGGUUUCAAAAGAGUGAAAUAAACACAAAAUACAAUCAGCUUGAGUUCGCCUCUGCGCAGAGUGAGAGAGAUGCUCCAGCCAACACCUGCGAGCAAUAAUUCUGCUCUCUCUCUGCUUCCAGCUCGUUUUAUUAAGUUUUAAGAGUGUGUUCACAUUUCCUAUUUUACAUAUAUCAUAUCGCUCAGUUGUAUAACAUAACAGUUCCUUAUGUCCAAAUAAGGAGUGCUUCUUGUUAUUUCUUCCAGCAAGCUCAUCUUGUCUUGUCUCCGGCCCUCCCUGUCCUUCACCAAUUUAUGACCUUGCACUCUCUAUCCGCUACUCCCCCUGUCCUUCACCAAUUUAUGACCUUGCACUCCCUAUCCUCUACUCCCUGUUCUCCAUCUGCACAUUCCAGUUACACACAUAGAUAGUUUAUAUUCUACAAAAACAAACCCCAGAAAACCUCACCGCUGUGUGAAGGAACUUAACCCUGUAUCCUGUGUGAAGGAUCUAGUUGAAUACAACUUCAAGCAGGCACAAUUCAUCCAUCCUACCCCGCUUUGUCUCCCUCUCAUACAAAGCUCCAUCCAACCAGUAAGUCAGAAAGAGCUCAAGAAACUCUGAUAACUAUUUCCCAUCACUUACCAAGCCUUCUCUCCACACAGUGGGUGCAAUCCAGUUCCUGUUAUAUCAAUUCAUCAAAAAUAAACUCUUAACUUUUU